ACAGCCACAUCAUUUUGAAACAUCAGUUCCAGUACGAUUACUGAAAUUAAGCAAUACUGAGCCUGGUCAGUACCUAGAUGGGUCACCACUUGGGAAUACCAGGUGCUGUAA